UAGGGAAUCUUCGGCAAUGGACGAAAGUCUGACCGAGCAACGCCGCGUGCGUGAAGAAGGUUUUCGGAUCGUAAAACUCUGUUGUUAGAGAAGAACAAGGACGUUAGUAACUGAACGUCCCCUGACGGUAUCUAACCAGAAAGCCACGGCUAACUACGUGCCAGCAGCCGCGGUAAUACGUAGGUGGCAAGCGUUGUCCGGAUUUAUUGGGCGUAAAGCGAGCGCAGGCGGUUUCUUAAGUCUGAUGUGAAAGCCCCCGGCUCAACCGGGGAGGGUCAUUGGAAACUGGGAGACUUGAGUGCAGAAGAGGAGAGUGGAAUUCCAUGUGUAGCGGUGAAAUGCUUAGAUAUAUGGAGGAACACCAGUGGCUAAGGCGGCUCUCUGGUCUGUAACUGACGCUGAGGCUCGAAAGCGUGGGGAGCAAACAGG
rnacentral:rRNA from 1 species